AUUGAACGCUGGCGGCAUGCCUUACACAUGCAAGUCGAACGGCAGCACGGGUGCUUGCACCUGGUGGCGAGUGGCGAACGGGUGAGUAAUACAUCGGAACAUGUCCUGUAUUGGGGGAUAGCCCGUCGAAAGCCGGAUUAAUACCGCAUACUAUCUACGGAUGACAGCGGGGGACCUUCGGGCCUCGCGCUAUAGGGUUGGCCGAUGGCUGAUUAGCUAGUUGGUGGGGUAAAGGCCUACCAAGGCGACGAUCAGUAGCUGGUCUGAGAGGACGACCAGCCACACUGGGACUGAGACACGGCCCAGACUCCUACGGGAGGCAGCAGUGGGGAAUUUUGGACAAAGGGCGAAAGCCUGAUCCAGCAAUGCCGCGUGUGUGAAGAAGGCCUUCGGGUUGUAAAGCACUGUUGUCAGGAAAGAAAACCUUGGCUCUAAUACAGGCGGGGGAUGACGGUACCGGAAGAAUAAGCACCGGCUAACUACGUG
rnacentral:rRNA from 1 species